GACGAACGCUGGCGGCGUGCUUAACACAUGCAAGUCGAGCGGUAAGGCCCUUCGGGGUACACGAGCGGCGAACGGGUGAGUAACACGGGAGUAAUCUGCCCAUCACUUCGGGAUAACUCCGGGAAACCGGUGCUAAUACCGAAUAUGACCACUUCAGGCAUCUGAUGGUGGUGGAAAGUUCCGGCGGUGAUGGAUGGGCUCGCGGCCUAUCAGCUUGUUGGUGGGGUAGUGGCCUACCAAGGCUUCGACGGGUAGCCGGCCUGAGAGGGUGACCGGCCACACUGGGACUGAGACACGGCCCAGACUCCUACGGGAGGCAGCAGUGGGGAAUAUUGGACAAUGGGCGAAAGCCUGAUCCAGCAACGCCGCGUGAGGGAUGACGGCCUUCGGGUUGUAAACCUCUUUCAGCAGGGACGAAGCGCAAGUGACGGUACCUGCAGAAGAAGCACCGGCCAACUACGUG
rnacentral:rRNA from 1 species